GAUGAACGCUGGCGGCGUGCCUAAUACAUGCAAGUCGAGCGAACAGACGAGGAGCUUGCUCCUCUGACGUUAGCGGCGGACGGGUGAGUAACACGUGGAUAACCUACCUAUAAGACUGGGAUAACUUCGGGAAACCGGAGCUAAUACCGGAUAAUAUAUUGAACCGCAUGGUUCAAUAGUGAAAGACGGUUUUGCUGUCACUUAUAGAUGGAUCCGCGCCGCAUUAGCUAGUUGGUAAGGUAACGGCUUACCAAGGCGACGAUGCGUAGCCGACCUGAGAGGGUGAUCGGCCACACUGGAACUGAGACACGGUCCAGACUCCUACGGGAGGCAGCAGUAGGGAAUCUUCCGCAAUGGGCGAAAGCCUGACGGAGCAACGCCGCGUGAGUGAUGAAGGUCUUCGGAUCGUAAAACUCUGUUAUUAGGGAAGAACAAAUGUGUAAGUAACUAUGCACGUCUUGACGGUACCUAAUCAGAAAGCCACGGCCAACUACGCG
rnacentral:rRNA from 1 species